rnacentral:lncRNA from 1 species
UUUCAAUGACAAAAUGAAUCAUGAAUAGAAAUUUGUUUUCAAUGUGAUUUAAAAAACAUCUAUAGUAAAUAUUUUAGUUUAAAUGGCUACUGAUCAAAGUGCAGAAGUCCCUGGAGCUAUAAGGCUUAUGGUCAAAGUAUGGGGAGCCUUCUCAGCUCUUUGUAAGUGCAAUUUUAUAACACUGAUUUUCUGAUCAUGUCAAUAUGUGAAUAUGUCAUUGUUUUGAAUUGAAAAAUUAUUAUUUACCCCUUAAAAACGUCGUAAAGAAGUAUAUUUUGUUUGUAAGAUACGUCUGAUAUGAGUUAGUGUGUUAAGUAACAAAUAAAACGUAUAUUUUAGUCACUACAUUUGCGAAAGGUUUGGGGUCAAAAAAUAGCUUGUUUACAAUUUGUAUAAAUAUACGAGUGCAGCCGGCAAG